rnacentral:sRNA from 1 species
UUUUAACCCUGAUAGGAAUGUAAAUCCUGUUAUUGCCCUAUUGAAAUAUCUUUAAUUGAUUUUUAGCUGGCAAUAACAGAUUGAAAUGAAUAGCAGGAAUUACA